GGAGAGUUUGAUCCUGGCUCAGGAUGAACGCUGGCGGCGUGCUUAACACAUGCAAGUCGAACGGUGAAGCCAAGCUUGCUUGGUGGAUCAGUGGCGAACGGGUGAGUAACACGUGAGCAACCUGCCCUGGACUCUGGGAUAAGCGCUGGAAACGGCGUCUAAUACUGGAUAUGAGCCUCUUCCGCAUGGUGGGGGUUGGAAAGAUUUUUUGGUCUGGGAUGGGCUCGCGGCCUAUCAGCUUGUUGGUGAGGUAAUGGCUCACCAAGGCGUCGACGGGUAGCCGGCCUGAGAGGGUGACCGGCCACACUGGGACUGAGACACGGCCCAGACUCCUACGGGAGGCAGCAGUGGGGAAUAUUGCACAAUGGGCGAAAGCCUGAUGCAGCAACGCCGCGUGAGGGAUGACGGCCUUCGGGUUGUAAACCUCUUUUAGCAGGGAAGAAGCGAAAGUGACGGUACCUGCAGAAAAAGCGCCGGCUAACUACGUGCCAGCAGCCGCGGUAAUACGUAGGGCGCAAGCGUUAUCCGGAAUUAUUGGGCGUAAAGAGCUCGUAGGCGGUUUGUCGCGUCUGCUGUGAAAUCCCGAGGCUCAACCUCGGGCCUGCAGUGGGUACGGGCAGACUAGAGUGCGGUAGGGGAGAUUGGAAUUCCUGGUGUAGCGGUGGAAUGCGCAGAUAUCAGGAGGAACACCGAUGGCGAAGGCAGAUCUCUGGGCCGUAACUGACGCUGAGGAGCGAAAGGGUGGGGAGCAAACAGGCUUAGAUACCCUGGUAGUCCACCCCGUAAACGUUGGGAACUAGUUGUGGGGACCAUUCCACGGUUUCCGUGACGCAGCUAACGCAUUAAGUUCCCCGCCUGGGGAGUACGGCCGCAAGGCUAAAACUCAAAGGAAUUGACGGGGACCCGCACAAGCGGCGGAGCAUGCGGAUUAAUUCGAUGCAACGCGAAGAACCUUACCAAGGCUUGACAUACACCAGAACGGGCCAGAAAUGGUCAACUCUUUGGACACUGGUGAACAGGUGGUGCAUGGUUGUCGUCAGCUCGUGUCGUGAGAUGUUGGGUUAAGUCCCGCAACGAGCGCAACCCUCGUUCUAUGUUGCCAGCACGUAAUGGUGGGAACUCAUGGGAUACUGCC
rnacentral:rRNA from 1 species